rnacentral:rRNA from 1 species
GACGAACGCUGGCGGCGUGCUUAACACAUGCAAGUCGAACGGAAAGGCCCUGCUUUUGUGGGGUGCUCGAGUGGCGAACGGGUGAGUAACACGUGAGUAACCUGCCCUUGACUUUGGGAUAACUUCAGGAAACUGGGGCUAAUACCGGAUAGGAGCUCCUGCUGCAUGGUGGGGGUUGGAAAGUUUCGGCGGUUGGGGAUGGACUCGCGGCUUAUCAGCUUGUUGGUGGGGUAGUGGCUUACCAAGGCUUUGACGGGUAGCCGGCCUGAGAGGGGGACCGGCCACAUUGGGACUGAGAUACGGCCCAGACUCCAACGGGAGGCAGCGGUGGGGAAUAUUGCACAAUGGGAGGAAGGCUGAUGCAACAACGCCGCGUGCGGGAUGACGGCCUUCGGGUUGUAAACCGCUUUUGCCUGUGACGAAGCGUGAGUGACGGUAAUGGGUAAAGAAGCACCGGCUAACUACGUG